UUUUGUAGUCCCUCUGCAUGGGAUUUGUGAUACCACCACCACCCCCCAAAAAAGUGAAGUCUGCUCUUAAGUCUUCUCACCUCUUUGCUUAUCAAUGUGGUCACAGUAACCUGAAGAGGAAAACAACCAAUUUUAUUUUAUGUACUUUUGGAAAUUGAAGAAUCUCUAUGUGGUAUUGAUAUCCAGAGAGAUCAGUACAAAAAUGGGAUGGGUGUAAAUUAUAUGCUGGUAGACUCUCGUUGGGGUUCAGGUAGGCCUGUUUCUUUCCUACAGAUACAUUUGUGUGACUUUCUUUCAGAAACGUGUGUCAGCCCCCUGCGUUCUGGGAUAUUUGAUGUUUGAGCCUGUGCUUGUAAUAAGAAAGUGUUGUUUAGCAUUCAGAAGGCGGAUGCAUGGAGGGCGCAGGGUAGCAUGUUACAUCCCAUGGUGGAAGGACACAGAUGACUGGGGACGAUUAAAAUGGCCCAGGAUUAAGGUGAAGAGCGCGGAAGCCAAGGUCCUGAGAAAGGUGCACAUCGAAGACAUCGCCUCCUCAUUAGCCUUGCAGGACGGGACUCCCACUGCGCCCCUGGAGGAGCUGACCUACCGGCGGUCACUCCGCGUGGCUCUGGAUGUCUUGAACGAAAGACAAGGGAGCUCUUCCAGGGAAGGAACGACACCUCAGCCUCCAAGAGUGAAGCCCACGGAACCAGCCUCCUGGCCCCCCAAGCCUGGCCUUUCCCCAUCAUUCCUUGAAGACACGGCAGGCAGUCCAGGGCCCACAAGGAGGGAACGCGUGUCCCAGAGGCUGUCCGGCCUGCCAGCUGGUGAGGAGGAUCUGGAGUGCAGAGUGGACCACAAGGAAGGGCUCAAGAGAAGCGGAGGCUUGGAUGCCCCGGCUGUGUGUUCAGCCAGCGGUGCCGUUCAGGACAGGGAGGCAUCCAGAAAACAGCGGGCAGAUUGGAUGACACCCCUCAGUAAACAAGGGAGGAACCCGGCACAGGGACCCCGCUCGGGUCAGAGAGUGGGUCCAUCCUCAGAGGGAGCCGGCCAGGAAGAUGGUGAGACAGGGGCUGGCCUGGCAGCCCUGUGCUCGCCUCUGGGAGGCAGGGACCUGAGUCCCCUGGAUAGCUGUCCUGCAGAGCGCCUGGGCCUGGACGGUGGCCAGAGGCCGAGGGCUCACAUGGGUCCCCACAGCCCUGCUCAGCUCGGCCCUGCAGAGGAGGCAGCUGACAUCCGGCCACUGAAGGAAGCCCGACCAUCGUCUGAAGAGUUUAUGGAGCCGAGUGCUGUGAACUCUCUCCUGGAGGAGGACGAGGAUGAUGAGGAGCCUCCGAGAAUCCUGCUGUAUCGUGAACCACCUUCAUUUGAAGUAGGGAUGCUAGUCUGGCAUAAAUACCAAAAAUACCCCUUCUGGCCGGCCGUGGUCAAGAGCGUCAGGCGGAGAGAUAAGAAGGCGAGCGUGCUCUUCAUUGAAGGGAACAUGAACCCCAGAGGGAGAGGUAUCUCAGUGUUGCUCCGACGACUGAAGCACUUUGACUGCAAAGAGAAGCAGGCACUUCUGGAUGAGGCAAAGGAGGACUUCGCCCAGGCCAUCGGCUGGUGUGUCUCCCUCAUCACUGACUACAGGGUCCGGCUCGGCUGUGGCUCCUUUGCCGGCUCUUUCCUGGAAUACUACGCGGCUGACAUAAGCUCCCCCGUCCGCAAGUCCAUCCAGCAGGACGUCCAGGGGACGAGGUUCCCCCAGCUGAGCGGGGGAGACCCCGAGGAGCCUGUGGCUGGGAACCCACAGGGCAGGAGGCCAGCUUACAGGAAGGUGCUGCCCGACCGCUCACGGGCCGCCCGGGACCGGGCCAACCAGAAGCUGGUAGAGUACAUUGUGAAGGCACGGGGUGCCGAGAGCCACCUGUGGGCCAUCCUGAGGAACAAGAAGCCAUCCCGGUGGCUGAAGACCUUCUUGAGCUCUGGCCAGUACAUGACCUGUGUGGAGACCUACCUGGAGGACGAGGAGCAGCUGGACCUGGUGGUCAAGUACCUGCAGGGUGUGUACGAGCAGGCGGGCUGCCAGCUGCUGGCACGUGGGCACGGAGAUGGCAUCCGCUUUAUCCUGGAUGUGCUACUGCCUGAGGCCAUCAUCUGCGCGAUCUCAGCAGUAGAUGCGGUGGACUACGAGACAGCCGAGAAGAAAUAUAUCCGAGGACCAGUGCUGAGCUCCCGGGCUGACGUCCACCUGCCCCUUGUUCUCCCCCGUCACCUCGCUGCCACGGCUGUUUGAGGAAACUGUGAGAUUAAGCGGCAGCUGCCGCCUGCCGUCCCUGGCUGGCAGGAAGAAUGCAGUGAUCAAGAUGUUCCUCUACAUCCAUGGGAAAAAGAAAUAUUUGAUAACCAGCUCCUAGAAGAACGGAAUCGGCGAUGCUGAAGCAGGCGGUGGCAGUGCUUCAUGCCUGUGCUCUGGGGGCCGGGCUGGCCGUUUGCUGCCUCCUGUCUGCGGGUUCUAUUUUCCUGGCUCUUGUGGAAGGUAUACUUCCCAACAGGCUUUUAAAGAACAGAAACACUUCAUUUUUUUUUUUUUUAAACUUCACGUCAUUACCUGUGACUGUACUGCGUAGGUUCAUAGAAGGUGCACAUUUGUUUUUUAUGUUAAAAAGCAUUGUAUCUGACAUUCAACAGGAGUUUAAAAGACAUACAAGUGUGCUGCUCCCAGCACAUCAGUGUGUUUUUCCAUUUGUUUCCCUCUUCUGUGCGGUUCCUCUCAUACCGGCUCCUGAGUUUGCUGUGCCUCUGUUCUGUGUUUUUGAGAAAACCAGGUGUUUGUGAGGCAGACCAGAGACCAGCUGCCAUCCACACUCUUGCCUCUGCUGGCACUCAGGCAGGGAAGAGGCAGACCUUGAACCUCUCUGGCCACUUCCUCCUCGGUCUCUCUGCGGGUUUCUCCACCCAUCCCACUCCUGGGCCGGUGUGACAAUCCCUAGUGGUCAUCGCUCCCAUCCAGCCUGGCCAAGGUCACUGUGCAUGUGGCCUGGGCUGUGGGGUCGUGGCCUGGCACCUGCGGAAACCAGCGCUUUGUCCUAAAGCCAGAGCAUGGACAGGUCCCCUGCCACCUAAGGGUCCCAGGCUAGGGGCCCGCACUUCGGAGACAGUUGCCUGAAGGCUGGGUCCUCAGUUCGGUCACAGAAAUUCUAUACACCACAGAUUAUUUAUUCUAAGCUGACGUAGAGCUGCUUGUGGAAGGAGACAGCCAGGUCCCCACUGUGAUGGCUGCACCACAAAGUCUGAGCCCGGCCAGUGAGGAGAGGUUCUUGUGGGGGUUGGGGGGGUGGAGGGGUGAAGGGGUGGGCCCUGACCAGAGUGGAGUGGACCAGGAGGAAGGAGGCACAGCCAUCACUGCAGGCACCGGGCACCGGCAUGUGACCUCUCUGCUGGUUUUGUAUGACCCUGAGCAGAGGUGCAGCUGCUGGCCCAAGGUCCGUCUCAGCCACCCUCCAAGGAGACCCCAGGGGUGUCUUGGCUGGGCUGGCUUGGAAGGAUUCACCCGCUUUUGGAAGGUCCUUUGACACUGAACCUUCUUUAAACGGGUCAAGGUGGAGAGCAGUACGCUCUUGGGGGCAGGGGACCACAUGAACUAUUCCGUUACUGUCAGGUAUUUUUAUAUAUCUGUGUUCUGAGCUCUCCUUGUGAGCUUUGCUUGUUGAACUGAACUGUUGAGACUGGAAUUAAAGACCGUUUUGCAGC